rnacentral:rRNA from 1 species
CCUACGGUGGGCUGCAGUGGGGAAUAUUGGACAAUGGGCGAAAGCCUGAUCCAGCCAUGCCGCGUGUGUGAAGAAGGCCUUCGGGUUGUAAAGCACUUUCAGUGGGGAAGAAAGCCUUGGGGCUAAUACCCUCGAGGAAGGACAUCACCCACAGAAGAAGCACCGGCUAACUCCGUGCCAGCAGCCGCGGUAAUACGGAGGGUGCGAGCGUUAAUCGGAAUUACUGGGCGUAAAGCGCGCGUAGGCGGUCUGAUAAGCCGGUUGUGAAAGCCCCGGGCUCAACCUGGGAACGGCAUCCGGAACUGUCAGGCUAGAGUGCAGGAGAGGAAGGUAGAAUUCCCGGUGUAGCAGUGAAAUGCGUAGAGAUCGGGAGGAAUACCAGUGGCGAAGGCGGCCUUCUGGACUGACACUGACGCUGAGGUGCGAAAGCGUGGGUAGCAAACAGGAUUAGAUACCCGUGUAGUC